rnacentral:piRNA from 1 species
UNGCCACAUUCGCUUCUGCUCUGUGCCCG